AGCUGCGUAAAGCUACGCUAAGUUCGUUCCCAACAAACUUGAAAACCGGCGUGGGUGCAAGCUCACCGUGGGUUCGAAUCCCACCCUGUCCGCCA
rnacentral:tRNA from 1 species